rnacentral:lncRNA from 10 species
GGUUCACUGCAACCUCCACCUCCCGGGUUCAAGCGAUUCUCCUGCCUCAGCCUCCCAAGUAGCUGGGAUUAGAGGUGCCUGUCACCACGUCCGGCUAAUUUUUGUAUUUUUAGUAGAGAUGAGGUUUCACACCAUGUCGGCCAGGCUGGUCUCGAACUCCUGAUCUCAGGUGAUCUGCCUGCCUCGGCCUCCCAAAGUGCUGGGAUUACAGGUGUGAGCCACCAUGCCCGGUCAGUGCCAUGGAAUUUUUUUGGGGGAUGGAUGAUGAAAACUUUCUGGAGUUUGAUAGUGGUGGCGGCUGCACAACUCUCUGACUACACCCUAAAAGCCACCUGCUUGAUCACUUUAAAAUGGUGGAUUUUAUGGUAUGGAAGUUAUAUCUCAAUGUUUUUAGAAAGCCCUAAGGGGGAUGUCAUGGUUAAUUUUAUGCCAACUCAACGAGGCUAAGGGAUGCCCAGCUGGCAAAAUAUUAUUUCUGGGCGUGUCUGUGAGGGUGCUUCUGGAAGAGAUUAGGGUUUGAAUCAGUAAGCUGAGGAAAGGAAAUCCACCCUCACCAGUGUGGCAUCGUCCAGUCCACUGAGGACCUGAAUAGAACUGAGGGCGGAGGAAAGGUGGGUUCUUUUUCUCUGGUCUCGAGCUGGGACAUCCAUCUCUUCCUACCCUUGGACAUCAGAUCUCCUGGUUCUUGGGCCUUUGGACUCAGACUGGGUCCUACACCAUUGGCGUUCCUGGUUCUCUGAAAUUUGGGCUGAGACUGGGACUACACCACCAGCUUCAGGGACCUCCAGUUUACAGAUGGCUGAUCACGUGACUUCUCACCUUCCAUAAUAGUGUGAGCCGAGUCCCAUCAUAAACCUCUUUCUACAUCUCUAUACCUCUACCCUGUUCUUUUUUUUUUCCUUCGGAGAACCCUGACUAAUACAGGGCAGCUGUGGUCAGCCAGGGCAACAUUCUGUUCUCUGGUGCUUUUGAAAGUGGGGUGCAGGUGCAGCCCUGGCUCAGCCCCUGGAAGGGAGCUUGUGUCAGGAGUGAGGCAGGACUCUUGGAUGAUGGUCUUGGAAUCUCAGAAGCUCACAGCUGGAACAGGCCUUCUAAGCUCAACUCCUUAAUUUUGCAAAUGGAAGACUGAGGCCCAGAAAGGGAUGGCGGCUCCAUGGAGUUUUGAAUUCCCACCCCUCGGUCCUGAGCUCUUUUCCCAAAGAUUGUGGUGGAAGCUGUGUUGAUGGGUGUUCUAACCGGUUCAUCUGAAUUCCUCGAAUGUGGAUUCCAAUCCUUCAUCUCACAUGUGCCAUAGGUUUGCAUUCGAGUAUAUACAAGUUAUCAAUUGAUGAAUAAGAAGUUAUCCCCCAACACGUAGUGGCUGUAAUAAAACCAACAAUAACCAUUUAUAAUCUUCCACAGUUUCUAUAGGUCAGGAACUGGGGAGCAGCUUAGCUGGGCAGAUCUAGCUUGGAGUUUCUCGAGAGGCUGCAGUCAACAUAUUGGCUGGGCUAACAGGACUUGAUGGAACUGGAAGAUCCAGUUCCAAGGGGCUCACCCGCAUCUCUGGCAGACUGGUGCUGGCUGUUGGCAGGAGUCACCAGUUCCUCCCCGUGUGGACCUCUCCACAGAGCUGCUUGAGUGUCCUUACAUGGCAGCCAGCUUCCCCCAGAUCACAUGACCUGAGAGAGGGCAAGGCAGAAGCCAUGAGGUCUUUUAUGACCUAGCUUCAGAAGACACACAAGGCAUUUCCACAGCGUGCUAUUGGUUACACAGGUUGCGGGGCCAUCCAUGGGCACGAACACCAGGAGGUGGGGAUCACUGGGGGCCAUCUCGGCAUCUGCCUACUACAAGCAUGAACUUAUUAAGUUUACAUUUAAAGAUAAACUCUUUCUGGAGUCGGUGAGUGCAAACUCUCAAGCCUUUGCUGUUGCUGUUUUUAGUUCUUCCAAAUAAAUUGAUGAUAAUUCCC